UACGGAGGGUGCAAGCGUUAUCCGGAAUCACUGGGCGUAAAGCGUUCGUAGGCGGUGUAUUAAGUCGGGUGUUAAAUCUCACAGCUCAACUGUGAGGCUGCAUCCGAAACUGAUACGCUAGAGACUUGCAGAGGUACGUGGAAUUCUGUGUGUAGGGGUAAAAUCCGUAGAUACACAGAGGAACACCAAAAGCGAAGGCAGCGUACUGGGCAAGUUCUGACGCUGAGGAACGAAAGCGUGGGGAGCGAAACGGAUUAGAUACCCCCGUA
rnacentral:rRNA from 1 species